UACGUAGGGUGCAAGCGUUGUCCGGAAUUAUUGGGCGUAAAGAGCUCGUAGGCGGUUUGUCGCGUCUGCUGUGAAAACCUAGGGCUCAACCUUGGGCUUGCAGUGGGUACGGGCAGACUAGAGUGCGGUAGGGGUGACUGGAAUUCCUGGUGUAGCGGUGGAAUGCGCAGAUAUCAGGAGGAACACCGAUGGCGAAGGCAGGUCACUGGGCCGCAACUGACGCUGGAGGAGCGAAAGCAUGGGGAGCGAACAGG
rnacentral:rRNA from 1 species